GAGCUCGUAGCUCAGCCGGUAGAGCACGUGACUUUUAAUCAUGGGGUCCCGGGUUCGAAUCCCGGCGAGCUCACCA
rnacentral:tRNA from 1 species